rnacentral:misc_RNA from 1 species
GAUGAAGAACGUAGCGAAAUGUGAUAAUUAAUGUGAAUUGCAGAAUUCCGUGAAUCAUCGAGUCUUUGAACGCACAUUGCGCCUCAUGGCAUUCCGUGAGGCAUGCCCAUCUCAGCGUUAGAAAAUAUUCUCAAAUUUUAGUUUUGUGCUAAAAUUUGGAUCAUGUCAAGGAAGCUAUUACUAUUAUUGUGAUCGCUCUUUGGAAAUUGAUAGGUCUUUGAGUUGCUACUCAUAGAACGUGAUGAAUCUUUCUUCGUUCUAUUGUAAUUCACUCUGGUAGUCCUAAAACUUGUAUGCCUGUGGCAUAUCUUGUAAUUUGACCUGAGAUUGGGUAGGGAUACCCGCUGAACUUAAGCAUAUCAAUAAGCGGAGGA